rnacentral:rRNA from 1 species
AGAGUUUGAUCAUGGCUCAGGAUGAACGCUGGCGGCGUGCCUAACACAUGCAAGUCGAACGAAGCGGUUUUGGUGAAGUUUUCGGAUGGAACCGGAAUUGACUGAGUGGCGGACGGGUGAGUAACGCGUGGGUAACCUGCCUCAUACAGGGGGAUAACAGUUAGAAAUGACUGCUAAUACCGCAUAAGCGCACGGGACCGCAUGGUUUUGUGUGAAAAGCCGAGACGGUAUGAGAUGGACCCGCGUCUGAUUAGCUGGUUGGUGGGGUAACGGCCCACCAAGGCGACGAUCAGUAGCCGACCUGAGAGGGUGACCGG